rnacentral:lncRNA from 1 species
GCCAGGUGGGUGUGGACGGCAUGGGGACGCGCCGCGUGAACUUCCCGGGAGCGCUGUGGCGUGCAGAAGGAGAGGACUUGGUGAGGAGCUGCUGCCACCCGAGCUGGGCCAGGACCUGAGAUCUCAUUGCUACUGCUGCUGCUGCUGUCUGGGAGACCUUUCUGAGACCCAGGUUGGGGACAGUGCCGGAGGGGCCUCCUCUGCUGCAGACAUCUGGAACCAGGUGCAGAUGGGUCUCUUCCUUCCUGCCCACCGUCUCUCACUCAACCCCUGCUCAUGCGCGCUCUCCAGCCACCUAUGGGAAUCGUGUGAAGUUCUGAGCCCGGAAGCCAAGGAGGAAGAAGAGGAGGAGGAGGAGUGAGAGGAGGUCAAUCCCUGAGAACCUGUGCACCUUCUCAGCAGGAGACAAGCAGCCACGCUUGUGGGGGGGAGCAGGCUGUGGGGCCCACCCUCACGCCAGCCAGCCUAGUGCCUGCCGUAGCACCCCAGAAGGCCCCCAGCAGUUGGCACUAGCUGUACCCACCUUGCCUGGGGCCCUCGUGCUGGGGGUCUCCCCCAAGAUGGUGGCAGCCCCG